rnacentral:lncRNA from 10 species
UUGAGGGAAAGGAGGUAAGAAUUGACACAAAUAAGUAAUGUCAUGUGCCUAAAAUGACUGAAGAUUCAGUAAAGACCAAAUGGAAAAAAAUCUCAUUUUUUUAAUUCCUCUCAUAUUUGAUGUUUGUGAAAGUCUGUAUUGGUGCAGGCACUUUGGGUGUUUCUGUGGCCGCAAGAGGCUCCUGAUCUUGCCCUCAGAUGAGUUUUUUUUUUGAAAAAAGGAGCACAAUGGAGAGCAAGAAAAAUAAAGGGAAAUACAGCCUUUGUGAAUGGGAAGGAACUGUGGUUUCAGUUGCAGAGGUGGGCCAAAUAGUUUUGGCCUUUUUUUUGUCAGGCAGACACAUGCACACGUAUGUUUAUUGCGGUACUAUUCACAAUAGCAAAGACUUGGAACCAACCCAAAUGUCCUCUAGUUAGUUGCAUGAUCAUGGUCUACUUAUGCCUCCAUUUUCUUAGCUAUGAAAUAGUGUUAAUAAUAGUCACAACUUAGGGGUUUUAUGAGGAUAUAAGAAAUACAAGUAAAACUCUCACAGUCUUGAUAAGAGUGGCUAGCACAUAGUAGGCACUUGAUAAGUAUUGCUGGACAGUGGGCCCAUAAAUCCAGUCAUAUGUAUUCUUGAGGCUUCAUCUUACACUUAUCUUUUCCACAGCUUUUUAAUAAUAGCCAUUUAUGAAAAAAAGACAUGAGGAUUUUCUCUUUGGAUUAGAAAAAUAUUGACCAUUUUUUUGCAAUUUAAAAUUACACACAGAUUUGCAAUUUCUACUUGUGAAUUAUUUGGCCCUGUUCCUACUCCUUUUUACUACUACUGCCUGACUUUGGGGCAAUGCUUUGCUAUUAUCAGCUGUGGGGGUCCUUCCCGCAGACCCUGACCCAAUGACGGAUGAAUAAUGUACUCUGACAUAGAUAUUAUGCUUG